UCCCGGCCCGCUCCAUUCGGGAACGCUCGUGCUGGGGUGCGGCGGGAUCCUCGUCCGGGCGCGACCCAGGGACCGCUCCCGGUGCUGCCCGAAUCCUGAGGCGCUCAGAUCACAGGAUAUAGUGGGGUCGAGAGGAAUCCUUAAAUCUGGCUCUCAAGUACACAGUGUGUGGCAGAAUUGAGCUGACAUCCUGGGCAGUACCAGGACUCUGCUCCAACUGACUGAACCAGUCUCUGGGUCACAGGUAUGAACCUCCCAAGGAUGCGAAUCCUUGGUACCAGUAAGGGAACUGCAGCUCCUCUUCUGCUAAAGCUGCUUUACACACCAGCCCCUGCCAUGGCUGUAGGGUAGAACUGGCUGGCAGCUGACAUGACAGCACCAAACUCUUCCCAUAACCCUGAUUUUCCUGCCCUUUCCAGGAUUUACCCACCAGCUGUAGGUUUUCUCUUGCAACAUCUCUUUGCAGGGAGGAAUGAGCAGGAAGAUCCUGAGGCUUCCCUUGCUGCAUGACCAGGGCUCUUCUGGAGAGUGGCAGGGGGCAUUUCCUGCAGGCUCCUGGAGAUGCUUCAGCCUGGACACAGCCACUGACAGCCCAAAGGCAGCCCAAGGAGCAGCUGGCACUGCCUGGGGAUGGCAGCACGGGCUGAGUGCAGAGGGGCUCAGACAGCAAUUGCUGGUUCCAGCCUCCCAGAGCUCCCAGGCAGCUGCCAGGUGUGUCCUGUCCACCCCAAUUCCCUUCCCUUCCAGCCUGAGGCCAUCACCCAGCAGCAGCACUAAAGCCAAGGCAGUCUUACCUCACAGAUACUAAAUCCAACUAACAGCCUGCAGAGAUGCCUUAAAAUCAGAGGUUUGGCUGGGAUGAAGUCUUGUUUGGAUGAAGGUGGGAGUUUCCAGGGAGCCAGCUGGAAGUGCAGAAGGGAUGGAAAGCUUUCCCAGCUUGUAAAACUUAUCCUGGAAUUCAGAGGUCAAGCAGGGUUGGCUUUGGAUUGACCUUCACCUCUGGUCCCACUUUGUGCAAACACAACUUGUGCCAGGUGCUGGACUUGCCUCUGUGGAUGUGUGCUGAGCUCUCACUGCAGGGGACUGUCAGGCCUGAAUGGCUGUGAGUUUGUGUUCUUCUCACUGGGAAAACAGAAAUUAUUGUUAAUUAGACCACAGAAAUGUUUUCUGAAACCUUUCCCCAUUGCUGGUACAUCUUCUUUUUCUGCCUUUAACUUUACAGCUCUUCCCUAAUGUCAUUUCCCCUGCCUCACUUCAGUGCAGCUCCUAGCUGGGAAAAACUGGGAUAACUUAGAGGAGACAGAGGUGAGACUUUUAGCUGGAUUUUUCUAAAAUUUUCUAAUGAUACUGAAAUUAUUUCCAAUUGCCCCAGUGAGAAGAACACCAACUCACAGCCAUCAAAAGCUCCAAACUCAGUUAAUUGAAGCAGGUCCAAGGAAAAAUCCAGCCAUGCCAGGCUGAGGCUGGAGCUUGCUCAUAAUUCAUUGUUGGUGUCUGCUGCAGUCUAGGAAUAGCUCUCUCAUUCUUCACUUGCUUGAUCUGCUUUUGCAUCCCUGAUUCAAAUGGAGUUAUGCAGACUUCAUGUUUGCUAUCAGGCUAUGAAGAAGCCUAUUGUAACCAGCACAAGCUUUUCUUAGAUGGAAAUGUGCAUGCAAAGUAGAAAGAGCUUUGAUACUGAGGUUUUUUUUCCCCUGAGAUUCAAGUAUUUUAUCAUUUUAAUACCAUUCCAUUUUCCUGUUGCACUCAUUUUUAGAGUGCAUCUUUUGUAUUAACCCUGAGUAUUAUAAUUCCUUCAGAAUUCCUGUGGAGGGCACUAUUACCAUUACUAUACAAUUAGCUACAGCUGGAUGUAAUAGAGAUGAACACUAAAUAGCUUUGCUGGAGGAGGCUCAGUGUCUUUUAACCCAGACACCUUCUUUACUGCUGCCUGGUUUGUUACUCUGCUUUAGGGAGUAUGGGAAACCUUAGAAAGAAGAGAAUUUACAAGUUAUAAUUGUACAAGUUGUCAUGCAAAAAGGUGCUGUGGAUUUGUUCUUUUUUCCCCCUAUCAUUAUCUUUGCUAGGAGGUACUAGAAUUUGGCAUAACCACUCAAAGGCUUUGUACAAGUGAUAUUUCCCAAGAGCCAGGAUGAUUUGUGAUAUUUGGGGAGGGAUGGAGGAGCUGAUUACCUUGUGGACCCUUCUGCUCUUGCUCCUGUGAGACCUGUGCUCCAUUCCCUGUUCCACAGGGCAGAGCCAAGGCAUCUAUUCCCCCAGGAUUUAGAAAAGCCAGCACACCAUAAAGUGAGGCAGGGAUAACAAUUUGGAGCCAGCAAACAGAUUAGGACUCACCAGGGUUUCUGAGAAAAGCUGCAUGGUUUUUUCAGAGCUGAGAAGGAAAUCAGAAAUGAGCCUUGCAGUUCAUAGGAAGACUUUUUGAAGCAAGAAUCAAAUCCUGGAAGUUUGGCAAAGUCAAGCUGGAAGUGCAGGAUCUGUCAGACCUGGCUGCCCUCCUGCUACCACAGAGCAGAUUGCAAGAUCAUUUCAUCUCAGUGCCAGAGAUUCCUGGAGCUGAAAGCAGGGAUGAGCUGCACUCCUCCAAGAGGCUUUGACUUCUUUCAGGGGGAGUGGGUUGUGUGGGAUUAUUCCCUCCUGCCUUUUCUGGGAAGCAUCACAGUUAUGUAAAGAAAAAAAAAAUCUUACCUUUGAUUUUACUACUUGAUCUUAUUCCUUUUUCUUUUAUGACUUGCACAGAUAGUUCAUCUGUUUUCCAAUUAGAAUAGAAAUGAUUUGUGAGAGUUAUAAGGGUUGUGGGAUGUUAUAUAAUAUAGAAAAAAAUAUACUUACACUAUGAUUUUAAUUAGGCUGUCAAACAAGGAAAAGAAGGAAGGGUGUAUUUCAGUUAUGGCAGGAAUUAUGUACAACAAUCUACUAUUACUGAGAAAGCAGUGGCAGAAGAAAAACAGCCAGAAUAAAAACUAUUAGAAUGAAAAUAAACAGAGGUUUUGAAUUAA